rnacentral:sRNA from 1 species
ACAGGAUGAAGGUAAGAAGAAAGAAAGGCACCCAGGAGACAGGAAAAAGGUAAGAAGAAAGAAAGGCGCCCAUAGCCAGAAGCCCUACAGCUUUGCCUGAGACUCAUCCUUUUCGCUUUUCUGGUCUUUGCAGCUCUGGGGAAGGAAGGAUGACCCGAAUACUGUUCAAACUGAAGCACGGGGCGGGGCGUAGCAGUAUGUCAAAGGUCACCGAGGCAAAAAGUAGGCCAGCUAGGCGCUGAGGCAUUUCCUCUGACCACUGACCGGCUGCAUCCACCUUCAGGGCCCCAAGGGAGGAAGAGGAAUCCCCAAGCUUUCACUGCCCGGAGCCAGGUCACGUAGCCAAAGAAUGUCAGAGCCACCACAGCACCUUAAGUCUGGUGUUAAGCCCAGGUCCCAGUCAUCGGAAGAAGAAACAAAAAUGAGACAGAAAAUAUGCCAGUUCCUGUCCCUUGGCCAGAGAGUCACAGCACAAUUACAAGGGCAGUGGCAGUGACCCCAGCGUUGUCUGUGAACUCAGCAGAAGGAGCUGCACCGUCUUGGGAGAAGACAGCCUUAGGCAUGUGUGAGGAGGGAGCGCUUACCCUGAGCCCUAAAGAACGAGCGGAACUUAGGCAGGAGUGUGCAAUGAGCUGCAGACAAAACCAGAAAAUACCAUAGUGAAAGAAGGGCCGAGGUAGGCCACGCUGAGGGGUGGGGGGAGCUGCGGGUCCUUGAAUCGUCCACAGGAAAGAGGGCGAGAAUGAGACCUUAGGCCCAGAGGGGCAGACCCGUGAGCUCCGCACAUAGGGGCUGAGUUGCUUACCCUGAGCCCUAAAGAACGAGCGGAACUUAGGCAGGAGUGUGCAAUGAGCUGCAGACAAAACCAGAAAAUACCAUAGUGAAAGAAGGGCCGAGAUGUGGUGGCCCUUCCUGUGUCCAUUGGGCUGCAGCUCAGCUGUCCCCCUGUGUAAUGCAUCUUCCAGUCAUCCUGAGGCUGCUCCUUCUAAAUCGGUCCAUCCCUCAUUCGUCCCUGAGCGGUUUCCUCCUUUUCAUCUCCUCCCGCAUUUAGAAGAUCUAGGCUUACUCUCGGAAUCCACAUGGCGACUCACAGCUGUCUGUAACUCCUGUUCCAGAGAUCCUGACACCAUUUUUUUGGCAUCUGAGGUAACAGGCACAUAUAUGAUCUACAUACAUUCAUGCAGUCAAAUACUCAUAUACAUGAAAUAAAAAGAAAUUCUUCCUUGAAGGGGGUCUGGGAAUGGUGGUAUAUCUCUGUAAUCCCGGAUGUUUGGGAGGCUGAGGCAGGAGGAUCACAAGUUUGAGACUAGCUUUUGCUACGUAUGAGACUCAGUCUCAAAAUAAAAUAUCCUACCAUGGGGAGAAAAGUUUCCCGGUUCCCAAUAUACUGUAUCCAUCCUGCUUCAGACUACUAUCAAAGCCACUCGGUGCCUCUGAUUCAUUAGAUUGUUGAGACAGGUCUAUGUAGCCCACGCAGGUCUCUAACUCACCUACCCUGACUUCAGUCUCCUGAGUAUAGGUAUUGGCCACCACACCUAGUCUGUGGCCUGACCUAAGCCUUACUUUUCAACCUUUGCUCUAAAUGAUAGAAAAAUGAACUAAUCCUUCAUUAAUGAGCUUCUAAAUUAGGAGAAACUCGAAUUAAUGAUUGCUUCAAGCACGUGAAGGCAGUUACAUGCCUAUGAGUUUGCUGAUGAGAUUCCCUUGGAACAAUCAUUGCCCUGAGCUAUCUGGAAAGGUCCAGAUUUUGCUGGCCUUGAAGUUUAGAAGUUUCUCAUUUUAGAAAAUAACAUCUUAGCUACAGCCUCUGUAUCAGUUGCUCAUUUUCUUAGUGACUUCUUCCACAGCUGUGAUAAAACACCAUGACCAAGGGAAAGUAUUUAAAUUAGAUUUACAGUUCCAGAAGGUUAGUGUCCAAUGUGGCAGAGGGAAGCUCUGGUGGUAGGGACCGCUUAGAGCUCACAGCUUAAUCUGUAAGAAAGAGGCACAGAGGCAGAGAAGGAGGGAGAGAGGGAGGAAAUACACACUGAGAAUGGGACCAAAUAUUCAAACAUGGGAGCCUAUGGGAGCCAUUAUCAUUCAAACACACUCCACUCCCCGGUCCCCAUAGGCUCAUGGCUGAUUUAAAUGUAAAAUGUAUGUAUUCAACUUCAAAAGUCCCCACAGUCUUUCAGUCUCCACACUCUUUUAUGAAAAAAAUCAAAUAUCAGCCAGACAUGGUAGCACAUAUCUUUAAUCCCAGCACUCAGUGGGCAGACAGACAGAUCUCUGAGUUCAAGGCCAGCCUGGUCUACAGAGUGAGUUUCAGAGCAUCCAGGGUAGUAAUGGUUUUAGGAUAAGAGCAGAAGGUGAGCAUAUUCUUUGGCAACAACAACAGUCUCUAGUGCAGUGGCUAAUGGUCUUCUCCUCUGAAAUCUCUGUUCAGAGGAGACUUCGGGGGCUCUGUGCUUCCAUAUUGCUCUCAGCACUGCUGUCUUCCAGGAUCCUACAGGGCUGGCCCACUAAAUCUUGUUUACAGCAUUCAACCCUUUCCCUAGUCCAAAGUCACAAAUCUUCACAUUCACAAAUCAUUCAAAAAGCAGCAUCCUGUUAGAGCAAUACCCCACUCUUGGUACCAGCUGCUGUCUUAGGUACUUUUCUAUUGCUGUAAAGAGACACCUUGACCAAGGCAAUUUAUAAAAGAAAACAUACUGGGCUCACAUUUCAGGGGGUUUGGAGUCCAUGAUCAUCUUGGUAUGGAGUAUGGCAGUAGGCAGCCAUAAUGUUGGAGCAAUAACUGAAAGUUUAUAUCCUGACCCACAGGCAUGAGGCAG